rnacentral:misc_RNA from 13 species
ACUGGGAGUAGAGGCGUGCUCCUGUAAUCCAGCUACUUUGAGGUCGGGUCUCGAGGAUGGUUUGAGACCGGGAACCGCUGUGGUUGGGUGUUUCUAAGUUAACCAGGCGUCCGCACUAAGCUAAUCAUCAACAUGGUUGUUUCCGGGGAGCCGGAAAUGUCCAAGUUGCUAAGUAGGGGCGAACCGGGCCAGGAUAUGGUGCAACGAGCGCCUAUAAGAUAAGACCAAUUGGAAUGCUGUUAUGUUUGCUGAUGAGGAGUGCGUUUCUGUAUGUAUAGUGAUAGCAGGCGCCGAAGAGUCUACCGAGAACGGG